rnacentral:rRNA from 1 species
AUUGAACGCUGGCGGCAGGCCUAACACAUGCAAGUCGAACGAGUGGCGGACGGGUGAGUAAUGUCUGGGAAACUGCCCGAUGGAGGGGGAUAACUACUGGAAACGGUAGCUAAUACCGCAUACCAUCGGAUGUGCCCAGAUGGGAUUAGCUAGUAGUUGGGGUAAAGGCUCACCUAGGCGACGAUCCCUAGCUGGGCUGAGAGGAUGACCAGCCAGACUGGAACGGAGACACGGUCCAGACUCCUACGGGAGGCAGCAGUGGGGAAUAUUGAAGAAUGGGCGCAAGCCUGAUGCAGCCAUGCCGCGUGUAUGAAGAAGGCAUUCGGGUUGUAAAGUACUUUCAGCGGGGAGGCGUUACCCGCAGAAGAAGCACCGGCUAACUCCGUGCCAGCAGCCGCGGUAAUUC